GUAGGUGGCAAGCGUUGUCCGGAAUUAUUGGGCGUAAAGCGCGCGCAGGCGGUCCUUUAAGUCUGAUGUGAAAGCCCACGGCUCAACCGUGGAGGGUCAUUGGAAACUGGGGGACUUGAGUACAGAAGAGGAAAGCGGAAUUCCAAGUGUAGCGGUGAAAUGCGUAGAGAUUUGGAGGAACACCAGUGGCGAAGGCGGCUUUCUGGUCUGUAACUGACGCUGAGGCGCGAAAGCGUGGGGAGCAAACAGGGAUUAGAUACCCUGGUAGUCCACGCCGUAAACGAUGAGUGCUAAGUGCUAGGGGGUUUCCGCCCCCUUAGUGCUGCAGCUAACGCAUUAAGCACUCCGCCUGGGGAUACGGCCGCAAGGCUG
rnacentral:rRNA from 1 species